AUUGAACGCUGGCGGCAUGCCUUACACAUGCAAGUCGAACGGCAGCGGGCCUUCGGGUGCCGGCGAGUGGCGAACGGGUGAGUAAUGCAUCGGAACGUGCCAUUGAGUGGGGGAUAACGUAGCGAAAGUUGCGCUAAUACCGCAUAUUCUGUGAGCAGGAAAGCAGGGGACCGCAAGGCCUUGCGCUCUUUGAGCGGCCGAUGUCAGAUUAGCUAGUUGGUGAGGUAAAGGCUUACCAAGGCGACGAUCUGUAGCGGGUCUGAGAGGAUGAUCCGCCACACUGGAACUGAGACACGGCCCAGACUCCUACGGGAGGCAGCAGUGGGGAAUAUUGGACAAUGGGCGCAAGCCUGAUCCAGCCAUGCCGCGUGUGUGAUGAAGGCCUUAGGGUUGUAAAGCACUUUUCACCGAUGAAGAUAAUGACGGUAGUCGGAGAAGAAGCCCCGGUAACUUCGUGCCAGCAGCCGCGGU
rnacentral:rRNA from 1 species